GACGAACGCUGGCGGCGUGCCUAAUACAUGCAAGUCGAGCGGACAGAUGGGAGCUUGCUCCCGGAAGUCAGCGGCGGACGGGUGAGUAACACGUGGGCAACCUGCCUGUAAGACUGGGAUAACUUCGGGAAACCGGAGCUAAUACCGGAUACGUUCUUUUCUCGCAUGAGAGAAGAUGGAAAGAUGGUUUUGGCUAUCACUUACAGAUGGGCCCGCGGCGCAUUAGCUAGUUGGUGAGGUAAUGGCUCACCAAGGCAACGAUGCGUAGCCGACCUGAGAGGGUGAUCGGCCACACUGGGGCUGAGACACGGCCCAGACUCCUACGGGAGGCAGCAGUAGGGAAUCUUCCGCAAUGGACGAAAGUCUGACGGAGCAACGCCGCGUGAACGAUGAAGGCCUUCGGGUCGUAAAGUUCUGUUGUUAGGGAAGAACAAGUACCAGAGUAACUGCUGGUACCUUGACGGUACCUAACCAGAAAGCCACGGCUAACUACGUGCCAGCCGCCGCAGUAA
rnacentral:rRNA from 1 species